UGGGGAAUAUUGCACAAUGGGCGAAAGCCUGAUGCAGCGACGCCGCGUGAGGGAUGACGGCCUUCGGGUUGUAAACCUCUUUCAGCAGGGACGAAGCGCAAGUGACGGUACCUGCAGAAGAAGCACCGGCUAACUACGUGCCAGCAGCCGCGGUAAUACGUAGGGUGCAAGCGUUGUCCGGAAUUACUGGGCGUAAAGAGUUCGUAGGCGGUUUGUCGCGUCGUUUGUGAAAACCAGCAGCUCAACUGCUGGCUUGCAGGCGAUACGGGCAGACUUGAGUACUGCAGGGGAGACUGGAAUUCCUGGUGUUGCGGUGAAAUGCGCAGAUAUCAGGAGGAACACCGGUGGCGAAGGCGGGUCUCUGGGCAGUAACUGACGCUGAGGAACGAAAGCGUGGGUAGCGAACAGG
rnacentral:rRNA from 2 species